UGGGGAAUAUUGCACAAUGGGGGGAACCCUGAUGCAGCCAUGCCGCGUGUGUGAAGAAGGCCUUCGGGUUGUAAAGCACUUUCAGGUGUUAGGAAAGGUUGUUGGUUACUACCCAACGGCUGUGACGUUAACACAAGAAGAAGCACCGGCUAACUCGGUGCCAGCAGCCGCGGUAAUACGGAGGGUGCGAGCGUUAAUCGGAAUUACUGGGCGUAAAGCGCACGCAGGCGGAAUGUUAAGCUAGAUGUGAAAGCCCAGCGCUCAACGUUGGACGGUCAUUUAGAACUGGCAUUCUAGAGUUUUGGAGAGGGGAGUGGAAUUCCACGUGUAGCGGUGAAAUGCGUAGAUAUGUGGAGGAACAUCAGUGGCGAAGGCGACUCUCUGGCCAAAGACUGACGCUCAUGUGCGAAAGUGUGGGUAGCGAACAGGAUUAGAUACCCCCGUAGUCC
rnacentral:rRNA from 1 species